UACAGAGGGUGCAAGCGUUAAUCGGAAUUACUGGGCGUAAAGCGUGCGUAGACGGUUGCGUAAGUCAGAUGUGAAAGCCCCGGGCUCAACCUGGGAAUUGCAUUUGAGACUGCGUAGCUAGGGUGCGGAAGAGGGAAGCGGAAUUUCCGGUGUAGCGGUGAAAUGCGUAGAUAUCGGAAGGAACACCAGUGGCGAAAGCGGCUUCCUGGUCCAGCACCGACGUUCAGGCACGAAGCGUGGGGAGC
rnacentral:rRNA from 1 species